rfam:Natronorubrum tibetense GA33 contig_33, whole genome shotgun sequence.
CCUGUUCGGCGUCGACGCCACCACAGGUCGGGAUGUGAUCCGCGGGGACCGGCCCCGGUCGGGAUUGAACCAGGAA